CCACUUCUUCUUCCCUCGCCGUACAAACUACUUUCUCUCCCCACUUUAAUACCCAAUCGUCUUUCUCUCUCUAAAACUUAGUUUUUUCUUCUUCCAAUUUUCCGUCCUAAUCCCCAAAACCCUGUGUAUUUGUGAAUUCAUAUAUGAUAAGCGUUGUGUUAAGUAAUUGAAAAUUUAAUUUCUUCGUUUAGGAAUAGGUUCUAAUUCAAUGGACGCCGGAGGAGGUUCUCCGGCACCGGAAAUAACACCGGCGCCGAUGCCUAGCUCAAAUGCGAUACCACCUUUUUUGAUGAAGACUUAUGAUAUGGUUGAUGACCCGAGUACUGACAAGAUUGUUUCGUGGAGUCCUACCGAUAGUAGCUUUGUGAUUUGGGAUCCACCGGAGUUCGCCAAGCAGUUACUGCCCAAGUAUUUUAAGCAUAGUAACUUCUCCAGCUUCGUUCGUCAGUUGAACACUUAUGGCUUUAGAAAGGUUGGUUCGGACCUCUGGAAAUUUUCUAAUGAUGGAUUCAUAAGAGGUCAAAAGCAUCUGCUUAAAAAUAUUAGCAGGCGCAAGCCUGCUCAUGGACAGCAGCAGCAGCAGCAGCAGCAGCAGCAGCAGCUGCAUGGUCAGAGUGCUUCAGUUGGGGCUUGUGUCGAGGUUGGAAAUUUUGGGCUUGAGAAAGAGGUUGAGUGGCUGAAAAGGGACAAGAAUGUGCUUAUGCAAGAGCUGGUUAAGCUGAGACAACACCAGCAGACUACUGAUGAUCAGAUGCAAAACAUGGUGCAGAACCUUCAGAUUAUGGAGCAGCGGCAGCAACAGAUGAUGUCUUUCCUGGCAAAAGCUGUUAACAGCCCUGGAUUCUUCGCACAGUUUGUACAGCAGCAAAAUGACAACAAUAAGCGCAAGAUGGAAGGAAAGAAGAAACGCAGGAUUAGACAAGAUUUUCCUUCAGAUGAUCAUUCUGUUAGCCCUGCUGAUGGACAGCUUGUGAAGUACCAACCUAUAAUGAAUGAGACAGCGAAAGGAAUGCUCACACAGAUAACAAAACUAGAUUCUUCUCCUAGGUUAGAGAACUUCAGCAACAGUCCUGAAAGUCCACCGAUUGGUGAUGCAUUUGAUGGCAGAAGUAACAGUCGAAUUUCAGGAGUCACUCUUCAGGAAGUUUCACCUGCUUUUUCGCAGCCAUUUGCUAGUACAACUUCAGCUAUUGCAGGACAAAGUUCAUUGUCUGCCAACAUUCAGUUUUCAGAGAGCAGUUCCCCGAUUGGAGCUCAAGAUUUGCCACCUAUUGUACCGUUUUCAUCAGAUAUGAUUAUGCCUAUGCCCUCACAGUUACAAGAAAUUGUGCCUGAAAACAAUAUGGAUAUUAAUGGAACAGAGAGGGGCAAUGAUUCUUUCAUGGAUCCGACAUUGUGGGGAAAUGGAGAACUGCCAUUGGAAAAUGAUAUUUUCCCCCCCGACCUUCAAAUCAAGUGGGAAAGUGCUUUGGUUGACGAUAUUGGAGAGCCUCCUAGUGUGGGUGAUCCCUCCUGGGAAAAGUUUCUUCAAAGCCUAUACCCUCCUACUGAGACAGAGGAGAUGGGUUCGGUUGAAACAGAAAAUGAUAAGACUACUGAAACAGAGCUGCUAGGAAAUGGAUGGUACAAUGUUCAGCAUAUGGAACAUCUUACUGAGCAAAUGGGGCUACUAACAUCAAACACUAAAAAAGUAUGAUCAGUCACCGAGAAGAUGUACCUGAGGUAAUCCAGAAAUCUCAUCUCUUAGUGUAUUGGGUCACGGGAAACUUCCCAUAAGAUAGUAGCUCUAAUACCGAUUUUCACCUUUGUCACUGGAUUUCUUUUCAUAUAUGGAAAAGCUUCAUGAUUCAUCUGGAUGAGUCUUAUGGAGUUCACCUCCAUUUUUUUGUUUCUUCCUUGCAUAAGCUGAAUCGGUCCACCAUGAUAAAUGCCUAAAUCUAUGUCGGACACUUCCUUUCCCCCUUUUUAAUUUCUCCCUGUAUAAGCUCUCUGGUCAUUUAAUUUCAUAAGUACGUAGAAGUUACAAAACUUUUGAUGUUGUUAUUAGGAAGAUGCCUUAACCCUUUGUUAAACUAGUCUGUUAGCAAGUAAUUUAGUACUAGUAGUUAAUUAGAUUCUCAGUCUUCAGUACAAUUGAGAACCUUUCUCAAGGCGGCAAUUGGAAAAGGUCUGCCAUUGUGGGAGAGAGAACUUAUCCUGCAUGUACCAAGUCAAUGCAAGAUUGAGAUCCGUAGCUUGCUGGGGGUCUCUCACUGCAGAUUUUAAGAGAAACAACUUGGUUUUAGUUAUCCAUUUUCAUGCUCGUGUGUUCGGCAAAGCUCUGGACAUUUCCCAAAAACUAUUUUCUGAAAAAUGACUCAUCUUUUGAAAGAUAUCUUCAGGUAUCGAGUCGGAGACCAGAAACUACUUUUCAAGUAAAAAUAUUAUAGAAGAUUUCUUUUUUUUUGAGAUGGUAUAUAUAUUAAGAUAACUAUGAUGUUGCAAACAGGAAGUGUUGAAACUUUUUAGUAUUAAAGAAUGAUUGCAAUGUAUGUUGGUUGGAGCACUAAGAGUAAGGGUAGUCAUUUUCUCCCUUUGGGUGGAAGAUGUUUUCCUUGAAAAUAUUUCUUGUAACCCAACCCCAGAAAAUGACUUUCGAAAUUUCUAUUGUGUCUGGUUUUCUCUUUUCAACUUUCCUUUAGGCUUCUUUUCGUCUAAUUUCGUCAGUAAGUUCUAUUUUAGCAUG